rnacentral:rRNA from 1 species
CCUACGGGAGACAGCAGUGAGGAAUAUUGGUCAAUGGGCGGAAGCCUGAACCAGCCAAGUAGCGUGCAGGAUGACGGCCCUACGGGUUGUAAACUGCUUUUAUACGGGAAUAACGCGCCUUACGUGUAGGGCUUUGCAUGUACCGUAUGAAUAAGGACCGGCUAAUUCCGUGCCAGCAGCCGCGGUAAUACUGAAGGUCCGGGCGUUAUCCGGAUUUAAUGGGUGUAAAGGGAGCGUAGGCCGCAUGUCAAGCGUGCUGUGAAAUGUCCGGGCUCAACCCGGGCCUUGCAGCGCGAACUGGCGUGCUUGAGUCCGCGGAAAGCAGGCGGAAUGCGUCGUGUAGCGGUGAAAUGCUUAGAUAUGACGAAGAACCCCGAUUGCGAAGGCAGCUUGCUGCAGCGGAACUGACGCUGAUGCUCGAAAGCGCGGGUAUCGAACAGGAUUAGAUACCCUUGUAGUC